GCCUAACACAUGCAAGUCGAACGGAACUAAUUUGACUGAUUCCUUCGGGAUGAAGAAUUUUUAGUUUAGUGGCGGACGGGUGAGUAACGCGUGAGUAACCUGCCUCUGAGAGGGGAAUAACGUUCUGAAAAGAACGCUAAUACCGCAUAACACAUAUAUGCCGCAUGACAGAUAUGUCAAAGAUUUUAUCGCUCGGAGAUGGACUCGCGUCCGAUUAGUUAGUUGGUGAGGUAACGGCUCACCAAGACCGCGAUCGGUAGCCGGACUGAGAGGUUGAACGGCCACAUUGGGACCGAGACACGGCCCAGACUCCUACGGGAGGCAGCAGUGGGGGAUAUUGCGCAAUGGGGGCAACCCUGACGCAGCAACGCCGCGUGAAGGAUGAAGGUUUUCGGAUUGUAAACUUCUUUUAUCAGGGACGAAUUUUGACGGUACCUGAUGAAUAAGCUCCGGCUAACUACGUGCCAGCAGCCGCAGUAACAC
rnacentral:rRNA from 1 species